CGUGUCUCUGCCCGUGGGCUAAGGGCGCGUGACUGCGGGGAGCCAAUGAGCGUGAGUCAGCAGGAUGACCGUGGUAGCUGGCACCUGGGCAUUUGGCCCGAGCGGUCCUCCUCCUGAACGGAAGGGUGCACGACCACAGUAAGGUCUACGCCAUCGAACCUGUUGGUUCCCACUCUGUUCUGGUAGGGAUCCCGGGAUCUGACAUCAGGAAUCUGGUCAGGAAUGUAUGCAUCAGGAAAAGAUAAGGUGUGAAGGCCAUUGUUAUAGCCAGAGUCAAGGAAGAAGUAGUAAAGAGACUUAAAGGACAUCAAAGAAUCAUCAGGUACUGCUUACUAUCCAGAUGGCUGUUAAACUGUCUGGCAUCACAGCGUGCAUACAUGCUUCGCAGUGUAAGAAGGCACCACCCCCAGCAAACCAAUCACCUCAGGACCACGCAGAGUCAAUUUUGACUCCAGAAGAAGAUGUAGAGGAACAGCCUGCAAUAUCUUACCAUCUACGCUCUCGUAAGGGUUGCCAGAAGCAGACGAGGACCUAAAGCAAGGCCCCAAAAGAAGCAGUAGUGAGCCUAGCGCCUGCUGCCUGCUGGAUGUAAAACCGUGACUGCGGUUCCCUCAGUUGAGGUUAUCAAAACUGAAAGGGCCUUGCCUCCAACAUGAGCCUCUGGUGGCGCCUGUUCCUCGGCUGCUGGUGUCUUAAGGUCUGGGGAGUCCACAAUGACAAUUCUUUUAUCCAGCAGCAAGUGUGGAUAGCUCAGACUCUUAAUAUUUCUAAUUGCUGGGUCUGCAGCCACAUCCCAGCUCACUCUCAAGCUGGUGUUCCUGUCCUGGCAAUCCCACUCAAUUCCCCAGACCUCACUGGAGGACCUUGUCCAUUUAACAAAACAUGGAACAAUAAUGACACUUGGGAAGCAGUGGGAAUAAAUGUAUCUAAAUGGAUAAGUGUGAUGGAGGGAAAAGGUCAUUGGUGUUGAGUGUGUAAUGGACAGGGCUGGAUCUGGGAAAAAGCCGUUGCCGUCAGCAUAUUGUGGCCAAUGCUGCAUGGGAUUAUUCGAACAAAACUAAAGAGUGGCGGGCUGGGUGCAGGGAUAUGAAUUUUUCUCAACCUGGGAUCAAACAGAAAAAUCAAUCUCAUGUUCCCCCUACAGUAAUCUUAGUGAAAACAAUACAAUCUUUCAAUGCCAUGCAAAUAACACCACUCCUCAUAAGGAGAAUUACCCUGUGCCUUUGGAGGAUAUUACUCCUCCUUUGUAGGCACCUAUGUGACAAAUGGGUGCAACCGACCCUUCCCAGCCUUAAUAGGCCAUCAUUGGGUUUGUGGGACCAAAGCUUAUACUGUGUUACCAGCUAACUGGUCAGGUAUCUGUUAUCCCGCCCGACUCUUCCCACAAUUCCGAGUGCUAGUGUCCUUCCCACGAGAACGCCUUCGUAAUUUCAGGCAAAGAAGAAGGGACUUAUCAGAUGCCCAAUGGUAUGCAAAUAACAUAAGCCCCUUGACCUGGGAAGAGGCUAUUGGCGGUUCCCUUAUCCCACUUGGGGGAGUAAUACACCGUGCAAAAAGGUUCCUAAGGUUACAAGCAGUAGUUGAAAUAAUGGCAAAUGAAACCGGAGAGAGUUUAAAGACCCUGGCCAAAGAAACAGGGGCGAUCCGACAGAUGGCCCUCCAAAACCAUCAGGCAUUGGACAUAGUGCUGGCGGCCAAAGGAGGGACCUGUGCUCUCAUUGGAAAAGAAUGUUGUGUGUUCAUACCUGACAACACCAAUGAGGUAAUAGAUCGCGCUAGUCACUUAGAACAAAUCGCAUAUCUUCCCUAUGAAGAGCCGAGUUCUUUAUGGAAGUGGCUAAGUAACCUAUUCAAUUUCUCUGGCAUAGGAAACUGGUUGUUUCAGGGAGCCCUGACUAUCCUGUGCAGAAUCCUAAUGAUUUUUGUAUGCUUUCAGUUAAUCUCCUGUUGUCUCCAGAACUGUGUAAGGUAUGCCACCCAGGUGACUUCCCCAAAACAGAGUGCUAAUAUGAUGAUGUUAAAUAUCACUGAUGAACGAAGAGAUAAAGAACUAUUAAUAUGUGGAACCCAGUAAUUGUUGGUCUUUGCGUAAGCUUGACCAAAAGGAGGGAUUGUGAAAGUGAAAUGAAUUAUAUUAAAGAAAAAGAAUGAAUUAAAGAAUGCUGUAUGUACCUUUAAGUAGAAAUGAGAAAUGCUGCAAGCCAGGGGGACAGGAAAGCAGACAUUAACUGCUUAACUUGUCACUUAAGGGCAAUUGGUGAAGCAUUAGCCUUAGAUCGAUAAGAGUUCAUAAGGAAGCAGGAUAUGCAUAUUGUGCCCUAUGCAAAUUUUACAAUUUUGCUCUCUGUCCCUUUGUUUAGUUCGCAUCCUUUUAUCUGUAUAAAUAAGACUGUUUGAAUCUUGCAUGGGGGCUCACAUUAUCUGAAUGUAUUAGCAGAGCACUGUGCUAAUAAAACAGAGUGGU